ACACACUUGUUGUGUGUAUUUCUGGAGAACAGGGUGAGCCUAGCAGUGAUGACUAAUAUCUUUCUACUAACCAGGAAAAUGUGAAAGUGGGUCUUACCAAGGUGCCACAAUGCAGACCAUCGAACUUCACUGUCUAGGUGAGUGAGAAUGGUGUCCUAACAUUUGUGUUCCUGUCUUUUUUGGCAGGCGUGAGGUUCAGAGAUGAUGUGAUAUUCGCUGAUUAAAGACAUUCUUAUAUACAGAUGGCUACAUAACUCAUGAUUUUAGUCUUUUAUGUUCACUUUGUUUUUGACAUGUAAUCAGGAAUUUAAUUUUCCCUAAGAACUCUAGUCAGAAGGAGAUUUUUUCGUAUAUUGUGUAAAGGUAAAUUGUAUCAAGCAUCGUAGUGAUGGACAGUUUGCAGAGGUGACAUCGCUAGUGUCAAGGUCAAUGAUGAUGGAGCCUAAACCAGAGCACAGGCCAUCGGAUCUCCAGGUAUCUGAGUAAGUGAUGAUGUGUCCUAACACUUCUUAUUACCACAAUUUUUUUUCAGGCAUCAGGGUGAAAAAUAAUAGAGUCCUUAUCAAUCUAGAAAACAAUAGUUUUCAUUUUAUAUUUUAGAAAGAGUUGAGCACUCUUUGGUGUUGAGUGAUUGCACAUAUGCAGAUAUUUAAUAUGGUUUUCCCACUACAGUACUGCCAUAGUUUUGUUUUCUUUUAAACAGUUGUCCAGUCAAGAAACUCUGGCUUCCCAACCUUGGUGUUGACCUUGAUUAGUGAAAGUAUCCAGGUAGAGUUGAUGUGUCUCAUAAUGGUGAUGUGAUCAAGGUGUCUGGACAGAAAGGAUACAUCUUGUGUAUUUUCCAGGUUCCUAUCCAGAUAUCACUCUGAAACAAGGAUUGAUGUUAAUGGUGGCCACUGUUGGGUCCAGGUUCCUGUCAAGAGAGAGACAUUCUGGUGGUUGUUCUCUGGGGACAUUUCUGUGCCCAGGUAUGUAAUGAUGUGCACCUUCCCCUAACAGACAUCUCAUCUUCUCAUAUCUAGGUCAGUGUUAGGAUUGAAUAACUUAUUUACCAUGUGUUUUAUUUUCAAGAAGUCAGGUAAGAAAUCAUAGUAUGUUUACCAGUUGUAGCAAUCCUGAUAUGCUACUGUCUGUGAUCUUAGAGAAAAUGUAUGCUUAGUCAUGGAGUGUUGAGUGGCUGGUGGGUAUCCACACCAUGACAGUGGAAUUGUGUGGUACACUAGUAACCAUGGUGCUUUGGCAAGUAAGCUGGGAAGAGAUGAUGCUGUGUCGAAAUUUGGCAUAGAUCUUGGAGUCCUACAUGAAUCCAGGGAGAACCGAUGGGUCCUGCAGUGAUGGCCACCCAUAAGGCUGUUUGAAAUUUCCUGGUAGAAAAGGUACGUCCAUAGACAUAUCUGUCACAAAAGGCUUUUUACAGUCUGGUCAAGAAGUCAUGGUGAAUCUCAAAAUGAUCUUGAAUGGAACUUUGCUUCUCUCCAGAUAAGUGUUGCUAUGGCAUUUAGCACCUAUAAUAUGAUCUUCAGAUAUGUAGGUCUGAGGGAGGUGUUCCUAAUUAUUCUGUUACCAUCUUGUUUUAUUUAAGCAGCUAUUCAUUUAAGAAGUGGCAUUUUCCAUCACAACCUUGUAGAUCAACUAUAGUUCAGUAAAACUUUAAAAAAUGGGGAAAAAAAAGAAAUUGACGUAGUCACAACUAGUGCUUGUAAGUAUUUGCCUUUUUUUUUUUUAAAGAUUUUUGAUAUAGUGUGUAUUUAAACUUAGUAGUAACAGAGGGUUAUUCAGGUCCAGGUAAUUUAUUCUACUUUUGCAGUGUUAACCAUGACAUUUCUACAGAUUCUCCUAGAAGAGAUGAUACUGUGCCUCACAAUGGUGUUGACCUUAAAGUUCUUCCAAGGUUCAUAUAGUGCAUACGCUCCUCUAAUGAUGGAAGCAAGCAAGAUUAUCUUCAAAGGUACUUAUUUGGCAGAUAAAUAAGAAUGUCCUUUAACACAGUUGUCUAAUGCAUUUCUCAAGGUUCUAGUCAGCAUCGUGAAUAUAAUUAACCAAAUAAUAGUUGUCAGUGGGACCUUGUUAGAAACCAGGUUGGUGAAAAGGUGGCUUCCAGCCCAGUACAGAUCAUUAGAUGUUCAGUUAUCGAGCACGUAAGAAUGGUGUCUAACACAGUGCACCACACUUUUUUGUAGGUUUCCCAUUACUUUCUUUGUCUAGUGUACAGGUAUGAGAUGAUGUGACAUUAAUUCAUUAGAUACCAUCUUUUCUUCAGAUACGUAGUUAGUGAUGUUGACCUUGAAGAUCUUUCAAGAUCCACAGAGUAUCAAGGAUUCCCCUGAUGAUAGAAAAAUAACCAGAAGUAAUUACGUGUAUUCUUCAGGUAAAACAUUUUUUUCCUUAAAACCCUUGUCAGUUGUGUUCUUACAUGUUAUAGUAGUGAUGACCCUAUAGCAGACCUAGGAAUGGUCAUCAAUGGGACCCUGCUAGUAACCAGGUAAGUGAUAUUGAGGGUCUUGCAGCCCAGUAUAGACCAUCUGGUCUUCAGAGAUGUCUGUGUAAGUGAGGAUGAUGUCCCCAACACCAGACACAGUGAUACUGUGUUUUUUCCUGCAGGUACCCUGUUAAAGUGUUUGCUAGUAUGAAGGUAUUUUCAGAUAAAUAAGGAAUAAAUGAUAUUUUGCAGACACUUUAUAGUUUAUCUUACACUUAACUAUAUUAACUAUAUUUUUGGCUUGUAUGCAGUAAAGCUAUUAAUCUGUCAUUAACAUACUCGUAAGCAUGAUAUUUUCCUACAUUCGAGUUCCAAAAUACCAUUUUACCCACCUCUACUGACAAAAGGAUAUGCAGAUAUCCAGGAAAUUUAUCAUACUGUUCAUCACCGCAAUAUAGACCGUAGAAUUUCGAGGUAGCCUUUCAAGAGAAGAAGGCAUCUCUUACUAAGAUUUAGUCCAGGUAAUGGCGAUGAGUCUCACAGUUAUGCAGUGGAACAAAGGGAUCUGAAGGUGGACACUAGAAUGAUAUGUACUUCAAGCACAUCCUCUAAAUGCGUCUUCAGGUUCGUGAUGGUAAGCAUCUCAAUGUAGUUAAAGUUGCUGGUAUCUAGGUGAGUGAUGGUGUGGGCCUAACCACAUCAUAGACCAUCUCUGCCUCAUGUAUGUGGGUAAGUGAAUAUGCUUGCCUUCCUAACACUUCUUCUUAAAAAGAUUUUUUGCAGGUAUUCAGCUGAGAAAUACUAAGAGUUCAUACUAAUUCCAAUAACCAUGAGUUUACGCUUUGUGUAUUUUAGUGAAAAUAUGUUUUAUCUUGUAAGUAUUGAGGAGUCAGUUAUGUUCCCAGUAGUUGUUGUGAAGUCUCCUCACUGUUGUAACCAUUGGAUUUUUACAGGAAUCCAGGAAAGUGAUACUGAUCUCUUCUGACAGCAGUGUUGACCUCGAAUGAAUGCAGAGAUCCAGGUAGCAAUGAUGUGUUCCAUGAUAACGGAGGUGCACACGGUUAGAUGCAGGUGUCCUGGUAGAACAGUGUUUGUCUUACACAGAUUUGUUGCAUGUAUUUCUUCAGGAUCCUGUUAAGACAACAGGGUAAACCUAGCAGUGUGAUGACUAACAAAAGCUUUCUAGUAACCAGGUAAGUGUGAAAGUGGGUCUCACCACAGUGCACACCAUCUGAACUUCAGGGUCUAGGUGAAUGAGGAUGGUGUCCCUAAUAUUUGUGUUCAUGUCUUCUUUUUGCAGGUGUCAGGUUCAGAUCUUUCCUUGUCACACAAGGAUGAGAUGAGGGGAUAUUCACUAAUUAAAGACAUUGUUAUAUUCCGAUGGCUACGUGAUUCAUGAUCAGUCUUUUAUAUUUACUUUGUUUUUGGCAUGUUAUCAGAUUUGGCUUUCCAACAUUGGUAUUGACCUUGAAUUACUGCAAGUAACCAGGUAGAGUUGAUGUGUCUCAUAAUGGUGACGUGACCAAGAUGUGUAGGUAGAAAGGACACAUUUCCUAUCUUUUACAGGUUCGUGUCCACACAUCACUCUGAACUGAGCAUUAAUGUUAACAGGGGACACGGUCGGGGUCCAGGUUUAUGAUGAUUGUGACCCUGUCACUUGUUACCAUGGCUUCUCUGCAGGUAUUCAGGUAAUGGUUGGUUCCUUACCAAUUCUUAAUACCAUGAACUUUCAGUUUUCAUGCUUUAGAGAGUAUCUUUAACUCUGUGACUCAUGAGCAAUUACACAUAGCAGGUAUUGAUUAUGAUUGCUCAAGCACAGUAGUGAUCAUGGAAUUUCUGCAGGUAUCUUGUAAAGAAGUGUUAUUUCCUGACAAGGGUCAUGCCCUAGGAGAACUGCAAAUAUUCAAGUAGAGUUGAUCAUAAUGCUGUCAAUGACGGAGCUUGUUUGCAAGUGUCCUAGUAGAGUAAGCUAUGUCCUUUUAUACGUGUAUCAUAAUGUGCUUUUCAGGUUCUGCCAAGAGAUGAAUAUUCAUUCUGAUGGUCAUUCUCUGGGGACAUUUCUUUGUCUGGGUAGGUAAUGAUGUGCACCUUUCCCAGCAGACAUUGCAUCUUCUCAUAUCUAGGUCUCUGUUCGGAUUGACUAAAUUUACUUAUCAUGUGGAUUUUUUUCAGGUAAUCAGAUAAGAAAUGAUAGUAUUUUUACCAAUGGUAGCAAUCCUGAUAUGCUGCUGUUUGCAAUUUUAGAAAAAAAAUGUAUGCUUACUCAUGGGAGUGUUCAGUGGCUCUUGAAUAUCCACAUCAUGAUGGUGGAAUUGUGUGGCACAGCAGUAACCAUGGUGCUUUUGCCAGGGGGCUGGGAGGAGACGCUGGCGUGUCGAACUUUGGCACAAAGCUUGGAGUCCUGCAUGAAGCCAGAGAGAACCGAUGGGUCCUACAGUGAUGGCUACACACAGGGUUAUUUGAAGAGUCCUAGUAGAAAUUGUGCCUCCAUACACAUAACUGUCACAAGGGGCUCUUUGCAUUCUAGUCAAGAAAUCACAGUGAAUCUGAAAAUGAUCCUGAAUAGGCCUUUGAUGUCUCCAGAUAUUCAUUUCAGAAAUUAAUCACAAACUUGUCAGAUUCCCUGUUGUGGCUCAGUGGUAAUGAACCUGACUAGUAUACAUGAGGACUCAUGUUCGGUCCCUGGCCUCGCUCAGUGGGUUAAGGAUCCGGCGUUGCUAUGGUGAGCUACAGUGUAGGUCGCAGACAUGGCUCGGAUCUGUCGUUGCUGUGGCUGUGGCUUAGGCUGGUGGCUGUAGCUCCAGUUUGAGCCCUAGCCUGGGAACUAUGCUGUGGUUGUGGACCUAAAAAGACCAAGAAAAAAAAAGAAAAGAAA
rnacentral:lncRNA from 1 species